rnacentral:rRNA from 1 species
GUGAAAAAGAACCUGAAACCGUGUACGUACAAGCAGUGGGAGCACGCUUAGGCGUGUGACUGCGUACCUUUUGUAUAAUGGGUCAGCGACUUAUAUUCUGUAGCAAGGUUAACCGAAUAGGGGAGCCGAAGGGAAACCGAGUCUUAACUGGGCGUUAAGUUGCAGGGUAUAGACCCGAAACCCGGUGAUCUAGCCAUGGGCAGGUUGAAGGUUGGGUAACACUAACUGGAGGACCGAACCGACUAAUGUUGAAAAAUUAGCGGAUGACUUGUGGCUGGGGGUGAAAGGCCAAUCAAACCGGGAGAUAGCUGGUUCUCCCCGAAAGCUAUUUAGGUAGCGCCUCGUGAAUUCAUCUCCGGGGGUAGAGCACUGUUUCGGCAAGGGGGUCAUCCCGACUUACCAACCCGAUGCAAACUGCGAAUACCGGAGAAUGUUAUCACGGGAGACACACGGCGGGUGCUAACGUCCGUCGUGAAGAGGGAAACAACCCAGACCGCCAGCUAAGGUCCCAAAGUCAUGGUUAAGUGGGAAACGAUGUGGGAAGGCCCAGACAGCCAGGAUGUUGGCUUAGAAGCAGCCAUCAUUUAAAGAAAGCGUAAUAGCUCACUGGUCGAGUCGGCCUGCGCGGAAGAUGUAACGGGGCUAAACCAUG